GAAACCAACAGGGAUUGCCCUAGUAACGGCGAGUGAAGCGGCAACAGCUCAAAUUUGAAAUCUGGCUCUCGGGCCCGAGUUGUAAUUUGUAGAGGAUGCUUUUGGCGAGGUUCCUUCUGAGUUCCCUGGAACGGGACGCCAGAGAGGGUGAGAGCCCCGUACGGUCGGACACCAAGCCUUUGUAAAGCUCCUUCGACGAGUCGAGUAGUUUGGGAAUGCUGCUCAAAAUGGGAGGUAAAUUUCUUCUAAAGCUAAAUACCGGCCAGAGACCGAUAGCGCACAAGUAGAGUGAUCGAAAGAUGAAAAGCACUUUGAAAAGAGGGUUAAAUAGCACGUGAAAUUGUUAAAAGGGAAGCGCUUGUGACCAGACUUGCGCCUGGUAAAUCAUCUAGCGUUCUCGCUAGUGCACUUUGCCGGCUCAGGCCAGCAUCAGUUUGCCGUCGGGGACAAAAGCUUUGGGAACGUGGCUCUCUUCGGGGAGUGUUAUAGCCCGCUGCAUAAUACCCUUCGGCGGACUGAGGUUCGCGCUCCGCAAGGAUGCUGGCAUAAUGGUCAUCAGCGACC
rnacentral:rRNA from 1 species